CUCGUAGGCGGCCAACUAAGUCGGACGUGGAAUCCCCAGGCUCAACCUGGGAACUGCGUCCGAUACUGGAUGGCUUGAAUUCGGGAGAGGGAUGCAGAAUUCCAGGUGUAGCGGUGAAAUGCGUAGAUAUCUGGAGGAAUACCGGUGGCGAAGGCGGCAUCCUGGACCGACAUUGACGCUGAUGAGCGAAAGCCAGGGGAGCAAACG
rnacentral:rRNA from 1 species